rnacentral:lncRNA from 1 species
UCCGCUUCCCGGGUUCAAGCGAUUCUCCUGCCUCAGCCUCCCGAGUAGCUGGGAUUACAGAGUUGUUACUAUUUAAAGGCAGCUGUGGCUUGGCCACGUGAGCAUACUGGGCUGAAAAUGUUCACUGUGGGAUGAGAUGCUAUUGAUGUCACACCCAAUUCCCCUUAUCCCAGCCUGGAAUGUGGCCUGCAGAAGGUUCUCUGUGUCUCUUCACCUGAAGCCCUUUCUUGGCUACGGAAGCAUGUUCAGCCUAGGUCCAACAACAAGGAGUUAACAUCUCAGGAGUAAUCCUCAUCUUGAUAAAUUAAGGCCUGGUGGAUACAUUCCCAGCUUCCUCACGUCUCAGUGGGAUUGAGCGUGGUGGUCCACAGUGCUAACCUGCUCAUUAACACACAUUUUAUCUCCUUUCUUCCCUUUCCUACCUCAUGCCUCCGUACCCUCACCCCACUUUCUGGGAUCCCCUCCCCACUUCAACCAAGAUCCCUGCCUCAGGGUUUUGCUUUUGGGGGAGCUGAAAUAAAACAUCUGGUGCCAGAAAUGGCCCUAGAAAGUGGCCUCAGGAUGAGACACUGGACUUGAUGCCAGCCAGAUGACAACAGGAUCCCACUGCUAGUAGUAAGUGUAGUGGUGAUAAACCCUGUCACACUACUGGGUUAGUUACCAACACUCUCACCUGGGUAUGGAUUGGAAUGAAAGAAGAGAAGACAGUCUCUGAUUAGCCAACUAUUACCUGAAGAGAUGCCCUGACAACUAGAAAGCCCCCAGGUCUCUAUUUAAAAGAACCCACAUCUCCUAUGUGCAGAAGCCAGAAUGUACUGAGAAUCCGGCCCAUGAUUGGAUUACAGCAGUGAUGCAGAUUCAAAGGAGACCAAAUUCACAUGCCCGGAAAGUCUCCUUUGCUUAAGUCAGGGCCCUGAUUGGGAAGGAAUGUGACUCUGAGAUAUGAGGGGCCCAUUUGGGCAAAUGCCCUCAACGACCUUGAUAUCCCAGAUUCUUCUGAACCCUUGGGUCUAGAAGAAGUGGCUCACUCCCCCUUGCUAGAGGAGGGUAGCCUCCUAUCACCUGGAAGCCAUUCCAAGGCCUCUCUUGAAAGGAGACUGGCAAGAUAACCUUGGUCUUCCUCAGGAUCGGUCCCUACUUCCACUCAUUACUUCUAAACCAAUAAAUAGGGCUGAAUAUCAGCAUGCCCUAUGCAGAGAAAUAUUAUCCUGCUUUGAGAAGAAAUGGAUUAGUCCCCCAAAAGAACAGAACCUGGACUGGCAGAAACUGGAAGAACAUGUAUGGUUAUGGAUCUUGAGGAUGCUGGCCUAGUGGGAAGUAGAAAAGAAGUUGGAUAAGGAAGAGUUUAUUGACAUAGACUGUCUUCUGUGACUCAGGAUUUGGCAUGUUUGUAAGAACACAUGGAGCCAGUCCUAAUACACUGCUGCAAUGGGCCUUGGUGCUUGAGGAUGAUGGUAUGCCAAAAACGAGGUGGAGAUUCCACAACUGCUUAACAAGAGUGCUGAGGAGGGUUCAGAAGGCUCAGAGGGAUGACAUGCUAGAAUGGAUAUAAGGCGAGAGAGCCCACCCAUGGGCAGGGGUAUUUCCUUCACUGAAACAAUAAAGACUGCAUUGGUAAGGGGACAUUAACAUUGUUGAGAAGCUCAGUGGUGGCUGUCUUCUGUUGGCUAGAACUGACAACAGAAGAUGCUGGCACAUAACUGGGCCUCCUAUGAUAGGAAGGAUUCCAGAACAAAAAACUAAUGGCUGCACUCAGACAUUAGAGGAAUAAAAUGAAUACAGUAACCUAAUGGGCCGUAAGGCCAGAAGAACAACCAGGGAGCCAAGGACCAGUGGCUAAUAGAUUACGGCGCUCCUAGAGGUGAGGUGAAUGGGCAGUCAAUGAAGUUACUGUUAUAAAACCAAGCCAACCAACCAAACAGCUGAUGAGUAAAAGACUGAUGUCAGCCACCACAGUGGAAAAUCCUGAUCUCUCAUAGUUACCAGACCUAGUCAGUUCUCAGUUCCAGAGCCCAUGGAUUGAAGGAGAGUCUGGGUCUCCUGAGGAGGAGCCCUGCAGCACUAUAGCAAUCUUAAAUAAUACACACUGUCUCAAAUCUUUCCCAAAGAGCCCCAUGGCCAUUUUUCAGAGUAACUGUAUGCUGAGAAAGCAGAAUAUACACAUCUUUCAAGAGCUACUCAACAUAGGGCCUGAGUGACAUACCCAGGGGAUCUAAAGCACCACCACAGCCCUCUUGUUAGAGUGGGACAUAUAAGAUAGGCAAUCUAUAAAGUUCUGACCCAAGGCUAUCUCAGGGCAGAUCCAGUAGGCCUGUGGGUCAAUCCCCUGAUCUCCCUUGUUUCUGAGAGGAUAAAUGGGAUGAGUGCACUUAACUGAGAGACCCCAAAAUUGGUUUCUUGACCUGAGGGAUAAGAGCCAUAAUGGUAGAAAAGGCUUAUUUAAUGCUCCAAAAUGCUCUCUCCAUCCCACCCCCUCCCCACUCCUGGUCAAAAUCAGGGGCAACAUCCCAGGAGUAUUGACAGUGAUCCCCACAAUAUCCCAUUGAAUGGUUCCUGCAAAGCAAAACAGAGCAAAAGUGGAAGAUGACAGUGGACUAACAUAAACCAAGAAGUAGCUCCAAUAGCAGCUGCUGUGCUGGAUGUAGCAUCCCUUCGAGUCAGCACUUGAUAUGAGGCUGGAGAUUUGGUUAAUGAAUUCUUUUAAAUCCCCUUCAGAAAAGAGAAUCAAGAACAGGUUGAAUUCACCUGGGUCAGAUAACACAGUGUACACUCAAAGUUUUGCUCCAGGAGCAUAUAAACCCUCCUGCUCUGUUACAAAACUGUCCAAAGAAGUCCUUGAUCAUCGUGACAUUCUGUAGAACAUCAUCCUGGUCCAAUACUUUGAUGACAAAAUGUUAACUGGACCUAGUGAACAGGAAUGAACUGGCAAAUAAUCUGAGUGUUCCUUAUGACACAUGCACCAGAGAGAAGGAGGUAAUUCCUACAAAGAUUCAGAGGUCAGAGGUCCAACAAUCUAGGGAAUACUGGGACAUCCUGCCAAGUCAAGAGCCAGUUAUUGCAUUUUGUACCUUCUACUACUAAGAGAGCUCUGCUCCCCUGGAACUCUGAUAAAGGUAAAAUGUCAACUCAGUUUCCAGGCAAAACAUCUGAUGACCACAUCUGGACCUGGAGGACUAUGAAUGAACUAUAAAUACAUGGUGGGAGCCACCACUUUAGGUUUCCCCCUGUGCGAUGAGUUCUUUUAACUGGACAUACCCUUAACUGGGUAUCAUGUGACUGCUAAGAGAGAUACUAAUCCUAUGUAGAACACGGACUUCUAAGCCAAGCUGGCUAUGACACCCAUCUGCAUGAAUCUCAUUCUCUCCAACUUAAACUGUCAUUUAGGGGAACAGUAAGACCAGUUCUUGGACUGCUUAGAGUAUACCACCAAGGAGAAGAGAACUACCUAAUGCUGCCCUGCGAGCUUGCUGUGUUUCCUGUCUGACAUCCUGCUAAGUGAAUCCAUUGCCAAGAGCAGCUUACUGUAGGCCUGUGUGAGUCUAAAGGCCUAGAUGAACCUAAAAAGAAGCCCUGGUGGGCAUUAUAGAUAAGGUCAGGCCAGAGCUCCUCCACUUUCCUCAAAUGAAGGCUUCUGGACUAAAUGAUCCAGCAACUACCACCGGCUUGACCUCUCUGGAACAAGCUUAGAUUUAACAGAGAACAAACAUCAAUCCAGAGAGAGAAAUCCAAAGGCGGGAUCAGUGUGGCUUACUGUGCCAGUCUUUUCCUCAGAUCUUUGAUUUGGUCAUUCUUCUUGCCAGGAACAGGCGGACCAGGCUGGAAAAACCCUUCAGCCUCCACUGGAGGGGAACAAACCUUGGCCAUGCACGAGGUGAGGAUCUGGGAUGUGGUGGCUUCCCUUCAAACAGAUCUGCUUCCCAGGGAAGUGACCAAUAAUGACACAGGACAAAAUCAAAGUGCAACCUGCAGGACCAUGCAGGGCAUGGAGGAGAUGGGAUUCCCCACAUUAUCCUCCUCAGGAGUGAUUUUCACAACAACAACAACACUGUUCUCUUCAGCACUUCUUCCACCAACCCUCGCGGGGAAACAGUGACUUACUGAGGGACCGUCUGACAUGGGCUCUGACCCUCCUGGUUCUACAAUCUGUUUUGUGGGAAAGAAAUCUUACUUGCUGUAAGUAAGAAAAAAGAAAGUAAUGGCUUUGGAGGCUUAGAAGCAUCUUAAAGUAUGGGCCGAUCUACUAGCUUUUGACAUUGGAUCUGAGUUUAUGCCAGCCGCAGUUGAAACAUUGCUGACAACCAGUACUGAGAACUCUCAUGGCUUGCAGCCUUCCCUCAGGCACUCUUCUGGAAUUCUCCCAUAUCUUGAAGAUGUGGAGGGAGCACAGAUAUAAGUAAUAAUGACAGUAAUUUAUUAGAUGAUCUCGCCUUUGUUCUCUAGGAAAGUAGUUCUUUCCAGAAUGUUAUCUUUGGAGCUACUCUUGUUUUGAAACUUUGUUUUAAAUCAAACUCAGUUCUGACUGCUUCGGCUUCUGGUGAGAAUAGUAUUAUGAGACCCAAGAAUAAUUCAAUAAAAACACAUGCAUUGAAUGUAUAUUCAUGAGUCCAUAAUGAUACUCAAAAAGAAUACUGCCAGAAGAAACUCAUUCGAGGCAGCUAAUACCAAUGUCUUAUUUUGACAUUGUGUAACUGAAAGAAAAGUGCGUCUAAUGUCCUUCAGGUAGGAACUAUAUUUCAAGGUAAACAAAUAGCUCCAGUUGACAACAUAAAGCUUGAAGAAUGCCAGCUAAAUGUAGAGGGAUGAAAGUCAUAAUCUUGCAAUUCCUAAUGAGAGGGAUGAAAGUCAUAAUCUUGCAAUUCCUAAUGAGAAUGUAGAUCCAGGCAAGGACUAUCAACCUGUGCUUGAGGACCUCAGGGGAGUGGUUGAUGGGACUUGGACAUCUGUAUGGUGCCAAAAUAACAGUAUGAUGAUGUGGUUCUGGUCUUCAGGAGAAAAACAGAAUUGUACAAUGGAUGGAUCAGACCACCAUCACCCUCACCUAAAGGUUGAUCCUAGCAUCAGGAAUAGUGGGACAACCAGUUAUUCCAUGUCUCCUGGGGUCAUGAAUUCCGAUGUCACAGCAUCCCCUGUGACGCAGUCUAGCCAAAGAUGUUUAACUUGGGUCUAAUCAAUAUGUAGAUGUAACUUCCAGGAAAUACAAGGGAGAGAGGAACAAGCUAAAUGACACCACUGGCAAGCAAUGUAGGGGGCCUCUAUCGGCCACUGGCCAAGCAGCUGCAAUAAGAAGCUACCCAUGAAGAGACUGGAGGCUGGAUUAAAAGAUAGAGAGAGGACAUAAAAGCCAGGUGCAAUGUGUGGUCCAGGAUUGGUUCCUCGUUUGGACAAAGAAGCUGGGAAGGACAUUCAGGGAAACAUUUGGUGAAUUUGAAUAAUAUAAUGGCUAUUAGAU